rnacentral:rRNA from 1 species
CCGCCGGUGUUGUUGUGAGAAGUUCAUUAAACCUUAUCAUUUAGAGGAAGGAGAAGUCGUAACAAGGUUUCCGUAGGUGAACCUGCGGAAGGAUCAUUGAACACACGAUCCCAGGAAAACACUGCGAACUGUUGUUUGUACCACGAGGGAUCGUGCCUGGAGGCACGAUCGUCGAUGGCGGAGUCUGGACUCAUGUGCGUCUGCCGUGAUCGUCUCGCUCGCUGCGUGGCGAGAUAAGCGACUCUGUUCAUCGUCGGACCGCUCUUUGUCACGCGUGACUUCGUGUCCCUGGGAUACGAAGUCAAGAGUGCGUCCCCUCCUCCGGGAGGAGUCUUCUGGAGGCUCCGUUUGUCUUGCAACGAGACUGGACGGUUUUCCAAGCGCAAGCUCUCCCGGGGCCCUUUUUUUCNUCACAGGGAACUUCUGUUUGAACAAUAUCAUGAUGGAUUGAAGGGGUCUGGGGAUCGCCGUGGGGGACUCUUUCGGAGUUGUCCCGUGAGAUCACCAGUUUCGGAACGAGAGAAAGCAAAUGACUCUCAGCAACGGAUAUCUUGGCUCUUGCAACGAUGAAGAACGCAGCGAAAUGCGAUACCUAGUGUGAAUUGCAGAAUUCCGCGAAUCAUCGAGUUUUUGAACGCAAGUUGCGCCCGAGGCUCGUCCAAGGGCAUGCCUGCCUGAGCGUCCGCUCUGACCCACACACUGGCCUUCUCUCUCUUUGAGAGGAGACGCCGAGUGAGAGUGGAACUGGUCGUCCGGGAAUCUGCCUCUCGGUGAGAGGUUCGAUGGAUUCGUGGUUGGCUGAAAUGAAUAGCCGUCCAUCAACUGUGCGCUCGGGAACAGCACAUUGCGAGAAGGUGCCGUCCUCUCCAUCCUCUUUUGUAUGAAGACGGACUUUGGUAACAAAGCAUUUUGCUUCCUUUGCGCAGCCGGUUGUAUGGGAGAGCGAUUGAGCAUGGGAACGGGAGGAUUCUUGCAGUCCCCUUGUCUCGCAAGGGGAAUGCAGAUCCGGACUCGAUGUUAUUCGGACCUCAGAUCAGGCAAGACCACCCGCUGAGUUUAAGCAUAUCACUAAGCGGAGGAAAAGAAACUAACAAGG